rnacentral:rRNA from 2 species
GAUGAACGCUGGCGGCGUGCCUAAUACAUGCAAGUCGAACGAGUUCUCGUUGAUGAUCGGUGCUUGCACCGAGAUUCAACAUGGAACGAGUGGCGGACGGGUGAGUAACACGUGGGUAACCUGCCCUUAAGUGGGGGAUAACAUUUGGAAACAGAUGCUAAUACCGCAUAGAUCCAAGAACCGCAUGGUUCUUGGCUGAAAGAUGGCGUAAGCUAUCGCUUUUGGAUGGACCCGCGGCGUAUUAGCUAGUUGGUGAGGUAAUGGCUCACCAAGGCGAUGAUACGUAGCCGAACUGAGAGGUUGAUCGGCCACAUUGGGACUGAGACACGGCCCAAACUCCUACGGGAGGCAGCAGUAGGGAAUCUUCCACAAUGGACGCAAGUCUGAUGGAGCAACGCCGCGUGAGUGAAGAAGGCUUUCGGGUCGUAAAACUCUGUUGUUGGAGAAG